UUGCAGCCAAUUAAGUCAACCAUGCUCUUUUCCCCAUGGGGGCCUGGUUUUCAAUGACUGCAAACAACAGCAUUCUUGAUAUCCAACCUGCUGCUAAGCAUGGGUUGCCUUAAGGGACCUUGGAUACAGCC